CGAAGGGGGCUAGCGUUGUUCGGAAUUACUGGGCGUAAAGCGCGUGUAGGCGGGGCUUUAAGUCAGGGGUGAAAUGCCAAGGCUCAACCUUGGAACUGCCUUUGAUACUGGAGACCUUGAGUCCGGGAGAGGUGAGUGGAAUUGCGAGUGUAGAGGUGAAAUUCGUAGAUAUUCGCAAGAACACCAGUGGCGAAGGCGGCUCACUGGCCCGGAACUGACGCUGAGAUGCGAAAGCGUGGGGAGCAAACAGG
rnacentral:rRNA from 1 species